rnacentral:rRNA from 1 species
UACGGGGGGGCAAGCGUUGUUCGGAAUUACUGGGCGUAAAGGGCUCGUAGGUGGCCAACUAAGUCAGACGUGAAAUCCCAGGCUCAACUUGGGAACUGCGUCUGAUACUGGAUGGCUUGAAUUCGGGAGAGGGAUGCAGAAUUCCAGGUGUAGCGGUGAAAUGCGUAGAUAUCUGGAGGAAUACCGGUGGCGAAGGCGGCAUCCUGGACCGAGAUUGACACUGAUGAGCGAAAGCUAGGGAGCAAACGGG